rfam:Alistipes timonensis JC136 strain DSM 25383 genome assembly, contig: Ga0131249_104
CGGCAGGCCCGCUCUGUCGCUGCCGGCCGCAGGCCGGGAGAGGAAAGUCCGGGCAACACAGAGCGCCACGCAGGCUAACGACCUGACAGCCGUGAGGUUGUGGAAGCGUAACAGAGAACGACCGCCCGCAGGCGACUGCGGGUAAGGGUGAAAAGGCGGGGUAAGAGCCCACCGCGGGGGCAGCAAUGUCGCCCGGCAGUACGUCCCGUGGGUUGCAAGACCGUGUAUACCGGCAAUUAAGGGUUGCUCGCCCGAUGCCGGGGGGUAGGUUGCUCGAGGCAGCAGGAGACUGCCGUCCUAGAUAAAUGACAGGGGCCCGGGGUUCGCCCCGGGAACAGAACCCGGCUUAUAGGGCCUGCACGCACA